rnacentral:lncRNA from 1 species
CAUGACCCCUACUUUUCUUUGGAUAUUUUUACAGUAUAAAUGUUGCUCUACAAGAAAAUUCUGAUACACUUGUCUGUAAACUACCUACCACCGGACAUCUUGCCAGAGCAAUGAGUGUCCAGGAUGCUGGCCUACCAGAGGAUGACCAGAAAGUAUCUGGAGAUGAAGGUUCAAGCAUCAGCCAUAAUGUCGACAGGAGUCCAAGGAGAACUACAAAGAACUUGAGGAACACUGAUCCUAAAUCUCAAAGCAUCAACACUCCAGCCAGGGCUUAUGAAGAGAAUCACCUAUGGAUGAGGAAAAAGUUUUAAAGAAACACACAAACUAGAUAGACACCAUCACACUUGGCACCAAAAAGAACCCACCAUUUGUGAUUAUUUUAAAUUAAGAGACAAUAAUUAUUGCCAAUAUUUCAAAAUUUGUGUUUGUGGUACUUAUUUACGCUGGCAUUGUUUUAUGUAUAAAUAAUUUAUAUAUUCUUUAUUUUCUAUGUAUAUUUAGAGAGAGUCAGUUCAUUUAGAAGAAUGAAAUAAUUUUUAUAUCUAGGUGCAUUUUUGUCAUGGCAACAGCUAGGUUUUUACCAAGAAAAAUAAGAGGUUUCUAGGGUUAGUGAACUGGUUAUCAAUUAAUUAUGCUUGCUCACUGUCAGUCUGUCUGUCAGUGUGUUGGUAUACUAUUUGGUUUCUGGUCAACUACUAGAGAAAAGAUUAAACUUAUAGGAUGAUUGCCUUCAUUCUGUAGAUCACCCCUAUUGUUUUGAUGGUCAGUAGGUCAAAGGUCAAGGUCACAGUGACCUAGACUGAAAAUAGUUUCUGCUCUAUAAUGAAAGGAUGCUUUGGCUUGGCUGUCAGUCUUCUUAGGAGAUAUCCUGUAUUCAGUAGAUGACUACUGAUGUUUUUGAGGUCAUUCAGUUAAAGGUCAAGGUCAUAGCAUAAAAAAUUACACACCGACUUGGACUCCAACAGGCCACCAUGGGAGAUGGAGCAUAUGUGUUUAAAAACGGCUCUUGUUUGACUUGAAGACUGUUGGAGCAGACUAAAUAUUUUCUAAUGUUAUUAAAUGAAAUAUAAAUACAUGACAUUGUACACAUUUGAUAGUGUGAUACAUCAUAUAUUGUGACCAUUCCGUUUUGAGUUCUGAAUAAAUUUUGUUUCCAACAUGAGUUUGUGCUUUUUUUCUAG